rnacentral:rRNA from 1 species
AACGAACGCUGGCGGCAUGCCUAACACAUGCAAGUCGAACGAGACCUCCGGGUCUUGUGGCGCCCGGGUGCGUCACGCGUGGGAACCUGCCCUUAGGUUCGGCAUAACUCCCCGACAGGGGUGCCAACACCGGACCAUGUCUUCGGCCCAAAGAUUUAUUGCGUUUGGUUGGGCCCGCGUUGGAUUAGCUAGUUCGUAGGGUAAUAGCCUACUAAGGCGACGAUCCACAGCUGGUCUGAGAGGAUGGUCAGCCACACUGGGACUGAGACACGGCCCAGACUCCUACGGGAGGCGGCAAAGGGGAAUAGUGGAAAGUGGGCGAAAGCAUGAUCCAGCAAGGCCGCGUAAGUGAUGAAGGCCUUAAGGUUGUAAAGCGUUUUUAACCGGGAUGAUAAUGACAGUACCUAGAGAAUAAGCCCCGGCUAACUCCGUG